GUCGGUGUGUGUGUGUUAAUCACUUUUGAGGAGCUAUCGGCUACCUGCGUAGAUCUAAUACACAAGCUUUGGGUUCAUCUUUAAAACUUGUGGGAAUGGAUUCAAAAAGAAGAUUUUGCUGAAAGUACAACAAGAAUGCUGACUUGGUGCAAGAGAUGAAUGGAAUAAUCUCCAAACCCAGACUGUCAUAACAAGAUACGCUCGUUUUCAUGGCCAAUUUGACCGGAAAUGCAACGCUGGAUAUCAAACACACAAUGCUAGGACCGACAGAAGAAAAGUUGUACUUGGGGAUUGGACUGGGCACUGGUCUAUUGGUCAUGCUGGUCAUCGUCAUCAUAAUCGUCGCCUCCAUUGUGACCCGAAGGAAGGACAACAAAAGUCGACCAAGGACUGGCAG
rnacentral:sRNA from 1 species